rnacentral:rRNA from 1 species
CACGUAGGGGCCAAGCGUUGUCCGGAUUCAUUGGGCGUAAAGGGUGCGUAGGCGGCGCGGUAAGUCGGGUGUGAAAUCUCGGAGCUUAACUCCGAAACUGCAUUCGAUACUGCCGUGCUUGAGGACUGGAGAGGAGACUGGAAUUUACGGUGUAGCGGUGAAAUGCGUAGAUAUCGUAAGGAAGACCAGUGGCGAAGGCGGGUCUCUGGACAGUUCCUGACGCUGAGGCACGAAGGUCAGGGGAGCAAACGGG